rnacentral:rRNA from 1 species
UACGAAGGGGGCUAGCGUUGUUCGGAUUUACUGGGCGUAAAGCGCACGUAGGCGGAUUGUUAAGUCAGGGGUGAAAUCCUGGAGCUCAACCCCAGAACUGCCUUUGAUACUGGCAAUCUCGAGUCCGGAAGAGGUAAGUGGAACUCCUAGUGUAGAGGUGGAAUUCGUAGAUAUUAGGAAGAACACCAGUGGCGAAGGCGGCUUACUGGUCCGGUACUGACGCUGAGGUGCGAAAGCGUGGGGAGCAAACAGG